rnacentral:rRNA from 1 species
GCAAGUCGAGCGGACCGACGGGGAGCUUGCUCCCUUAGGUCAGCGGCGGACGGGUGAGUAACACGUGGGUAACCUGCCUGUAAGACUGGGAUAACUCCGGGAAACCGGGGCUAAUACCGGAUGCUUGAUUGAACCGCAUGGUUCAAUCAUAAAAGGUGGCUUUUAGCUACCACUUGCAGAUGGACCCGCGGCGCAUUAGCUAGUUGGUGAGGUAACGGCUCACCAAGGCGACGAUGCGUAGCCGACCUGAGAGGGUGAUCGGCCACACUGGGACUGAGACACGGCCCAGACUCCUACGGGAGGCAGCAGUAGGGAAUCUUCCGCAAUGGACGAAAGUCUGACGGAGCAACGCCGCGUGAGUGAUGAAGGUUUUCGGAUCGUAAAACUCUGUUGUUAGGGAAGAACAAGUACCGUUCGAAUAGGGCGGUACCUUGACGGUACCUAACCAGAAAGCCACGGCUAACUACGUGCCAGCAGCCGCGGUAAUACGUAGGUGGCAAGCGUUGUCCGGAAUUAUUGGGCGUAAAGCGCGCGCAGGCGGUUUCUUAAGUCUGAUGUGAAAGCCCCCGGCUCAACCGGGGAGGGUCAUUGGAAACUGGGGAACUUGAGUGCAGAAAAAGAAAGUGGAAUUCCACGUGUAGCGGUGAAAUGCGUAAAGAUGUGGAGGAACACCAGUGGCGAAGGCGACUCUCUGGUCUGUAACUGACGCUGAAGCGCGAAAGCGUGGGGAGCGAACAGGAUUAGAUACCCUGGUAGUCCACGCCGUAAACGAUGAGUGNUAAGUGUUAGANGGUUUCCGCCCUUUAGUGCUGCAGCNAACGCAUUAAGCACUCCGCCUGGGGGAGUACCGUCGCAAGACUGAAACUCAAAGGAAUUGACGGGGGGCCCGCACAAAGCGGUGGGAGCAUGUGGGUUUAAUU